CAGCAGCUCCUGCUGAACCGGUGGCUGCUGCCUAACGCUCUCCUGCCUCUCCCUCCUCUGCAGGUGUAUCCGUGACAUCCAGUAAUACAGGCGUGCCGGACAUCUCGGGCUCUGUCUACUCCAAAACUCAGCAAUCCUUCGAGAAGCAGGGAUUUCACACUGGAACCCCGGCAGCCUCCUUCAACCUGCCUUCGGCACUGGGCAGUGGUGGCCCCAUCAACCCUGCGACGGCGGCGGCGUAUCCCCCCACCCCCUUCAUGCACAUCCUGACCCCGCAUCAGCAGCCGCACUCGCAGAUCCUCCACCACCACCUGCAGCAGGACGGGCAGCUUCCAUAUUUGCAGAUGAUACUGUGCUGCCAACGCCAGCAGGAAGAUCAGGUAAUGAACUCUCUGAUAAUGCAUUGCACUUGCCCUGGGGUCUCCCCCUGCCCCUAAGGCUGCCCAGGCUCAAGUAGCCUCUUCCUUCUCCCCCGUGGCCGCACAAGGUGAGGACAGAGGCCC